rnacentral:rRNA from 1 species
CAGCCGCCGCGGUAAUACGGAGGGUGCAAGCGUUAUCCGGAUUUACUGGGUUUAAAGGGUGCGUAGGUGGAUUUGUAAGUCAGUGGUGAAAUCUCCGGGCUUAACCCGGAAACUGCCAUUGAUACUAUAAGUCUUGAAUUAUCUGGAGGUAAGCGGAAUAUGUCAUGUAGCGGUGAAAUGCUUAGAUAUGACAUAGAACACCAAUUGCGAAGGCAGCUUACUACGGAUAUAUUGACACUGAGGCACGAAAGCGUGGGGAUCAAACAGGAUUAGAUACCCUGGUAGUCCACGCCCUAAACGAUGGAUACUCGACAUCAGCGAUACACUGUUGGUGUCUGAGCGAAAGCAUUAAGUAUCCCACCUGGGAAGUACGAUCGCAAGAUUGAAACUUAAAGGAAUUGACGG